UCCAAAUGCGGUGUUGAAAGUCACCAACUCCGGCUUUUCAGGGACAUUAAACUGAGGCUCAGAGUACAGGUGGUACUACAACAAAUGGAUAGGAGAAAACCAGUAAAACCUUAUUUGUUGAAGAAAUGACUCAUAAAAACCCUCUAAGUUGGUAACAGAUUUGGCUAUGGUCAACUGCAGGGAAUCUCCUAGGAAGCGGAUAAAUCUGGCAAUUGGAAGUAAAUUUCUAAGGAAAAUGUGGAGGAAUAUGUAACAUACGUCCAUAGCAUCUCUCAUCUCCUCUCUCUCCCUUCUCUCUCUUUCCCUCUCUCUCAGUUAAGAGCCAAAUACCCCCCCAUAAACCCCAAAGUCCGUAAGCUUUUUUUAAAUUUAAUUUAAUUUUAUUUUUCUGAGACGGAGCCUCGCUCUAUCACCCAGGCUGGAGUGCAGUGGCAUGAUUUCGGCUCACUGCAAUCUCCACCUCCUGAGUUCAAGCGAGAGGCUGAGGCAGGAGAAUGGGUUGAACCUGGGAGUCAGAGGUUGCAGUGAGCUGAGAUCGUGCCAUUGCACUCCAGCCGGGAUGACAGAGCCAGACUCUGCCU
rnacentral:lncRNA from 10 species